AGCGAACGCUGGCGGCAGGCCUAACACAUGCAAGUCGAACGAACCCUUCGGGGUUAGUGGCGGACGGGUGAGUAACACGUGGGAACGCGCCUUUAGGUUCGGAAUAACUCAGGGAAACUUGUGCUAAUACCGAAUGUGCCCUUCGGGGGAAAGAUUUAUCGCCUUUAGAGCGGCCCGCGUCUGAUUAGCUAGUUGGUGAGGUAAAGGCUCACCAAGGCGACGAUCAGUAGCUGGUCUGAGAGGAUGAUCAGCCACAUUGGGACUGAGACACGGCCCAAACUCCUACGGGAGGCAGCAGUGGGGAAUCUUGCGCAAUGGGCGAAAGCCUGACGCAGCCAUGCCGCGUGAAUGAUGAAGGUCCUAGGAUUGUAAAAUUCUUUCACCGGGGACGAUAAUGACGGUACCCGGAGAAGAAGCCCCGGCUAACUUCGUGCCAGCCGCCGCGGUAAAAC
rnacentral:rRNA from 1 species